rnacentral:rRNA from 1 species
AGCAGCCGCAGUAAUUCCAGCUCCAAUAGCGUAUACUAAAGUUGUUGCAGUUAAAAAGCUCGUAGUUGAAUUUCGGGACCAAUUUGUUGGUCGUGCCUCGGUACGUACUGGUAUUAUUGGUUUCUCCCUUCUGAAGAACCUUGAUGUCAUUAAUUUGGUGUCUUGGGGAAUCAGGACUGUUACUUUGAAAAAAUUAGAGUGUUUAAAGCAGGCAUACGCUUGAAUACAUUAGCAUGGAAUAAUGAAAUAGGACGUUUGAUUCUAUUUUGUUGGUUUCUAGGAUCGACGUAAUGAUUAAUAGGGAUAGUUGGGGGCAUUAGUAUUCAAUUGUCAGAGGUGAAAUUCUUGGAUUUAUUGAAGACUAACUACUGCGAAAGCAUUUGCCAAGGAUGUUUUCAUUAAUCAAGAACGAAAGUUAGGGGAUCGAAGACGAUCAGAUACCGUCGUAGUCUUAACCAUAAACUAUGCCGACUAGGGAUCGGAUGAUGUUAUUUUUAAUGACUCAUU